UCCCCUAGUAACUGCGAGUGAAGCGGGAAAAGCUCAAAUUUAAAAUCUGGCGGUCUCUGUGGCCGUCCGAGUUGUAAUUUAGAGAAGCGUUUUCCGCGCCGGUCCGUGUACAAGUCUCCUGGAACGGAGCGUCGUAGAGGGUGAGAAUCCCGUCUUUGACACGGACAGCCGGUGCUAUGUGAUACGCUCUCGAAGAGUCGAGUUGUUUGGGAAUGCAGCUCAAAACGGGUGGUGAACUCCAUCUAAAGCUAAAUAUUGGCGAGAGACCGAUAGCGAACAAGUACCGUGAGGGAAAGAUGAAAAGCACUUUGGAAAGAGAGUGAAACAGUACGUGAAAUUGCUGAAAGGGAAACGCUUGAAGUCAGUCGCGUCCGCCGGGACUCAGCCCUCGUGGUGUACUUUCCGGCGGACGGGCCAGCAUCACUUUCGGUCGUCGGAUAAGGGCGGGGGAAAUGUGGCACCCUUCGGGGUGUGUUAUAGUCCCCCGUCGUAUACGUCGGCCGGGAGUGAGGACCGCCUUUGUUGCAGGAUGCUGGCGUAAUGGCUUUAAACGACCCGUCUUGAAACACGGACCAAGGAGUCUAACAUGCCCGCGAGUGUUCGGGUGGCAAACCCGUGCGCGUAAUGAAAGUGAAAGGUUGGGAAGGCUGUCGUGGCCUGCACCGACGCCCGGACCUGAGAUUCAUCGACGGUUCUGCGGUAGAGCGUGUAUGUUGGGACCCGAAAGAUGGUGAACUAUGCCUGAAUAGGGUGAAGCCAGAGGAAACUCUGGUGGAGGCUCGUAGCGAUUCUGACGUGCAAAUCGAUCGUCGAAUUUGGGUAUAGGGCGAAAGACUAAUCGA
rnacentral:rRNA from 1 species